AGAAUGGAAGGUAACUGUGUUCCCAUAGCCACUACAUUUCAUAGUCCAGCAUAUAAACAGAAACCCAGAUUGAUUCUAGAGAAGUAAACCAUCAUGCUACCUCCAUGUUAGGACAAAGCCAUCUACUACAGUUGUGGAGCAGACCUCUGGGACCUGCAUAACCUCAAGUCACAUUAGGAUGAGCCUCACUAUUUUGUAAGGUGAAAGUUUAAACCAGAAAACAGUGAAAUGAUGGGCAUGUCUCUUGUGAUAAGACACCACUUAGGACACAACAGCAGUAAAAACAUCUGGUCUAUUUGUUAUUUGUAUGGUGGAAUUUCACUGCUUUGGCUGAGUCUUGUCUAAUUAUUAUUUCUGUUUGCAAUACAAAUAGAUCUCUGCCUGUAAUUCUACCUAAAUAUUCACUGCAUUAGCCAGACUCUAACAGGUACAGUUCUUAAUUGCCUCCCUGAAACUGUACUUGUUUCCACUAGAUCAUUAUGCAAUAUGAAGGUAAUUUAAUUUGGCUUGUGUAAGAAACCUUGAAGACUGCCAACAGUUCAAAAAGCGGAUUAUAGCAAAUGACAGGGGAUUUUAGGUUGUUCAUUUCUUUGUUUUCCAGAGUCUUCACCCACUCUAGCUUCCAUCUGUUGGGUGUUGUUUCCACCCCCAUCCCACCCCUCCCCCCCCCCGCUACUUCUAAAGGUCCUUUAUUUAUGUUUUGUACCCUUCUGUUUCCACAGAAAUGUUUAUUGUCAGAAAGACAGGCGAGCACAGGGCAGACUGCUUGCAGGAGUGGAGGAAAUGACAGCCUCAUCCCUGAUGAGACAUUUUUCCUCUCGGAGGCAAAUAACAAGAAUAAAAGCUGGCAUUGCUCAGAGGCGAAAAGAUAAGGAAAUUUUUACUAGAAAGUGACUCUUCCGUAAGCCUACUCAUUUUCAUUAACACUUUGAGACGUGAUGAAGAUGAUCAGAAAUUCAACUUACUGUGAGUGACUGCCAGAUGAUGGGUUGUUUAGUGCAGACCGCCAAUGCUCUGAGUUAAUCAGGCUCAUGCUGAAGUUGAUUGAAGUGCAGUGGUUGAAUUCACCUAUCAAGAGACAUUCAUUGGUUCUUGGGAAACAAGGUCAAGAUUCCCUCCAUGGCAACACCAACAUUUGAGCCUACUGAUUACAAUAGAAAAAAGAUAAAUUAAUUCGUAUUGUUGCUAUUAUAUGCAGUCUAGAUGGUUUGUUCUCGUUUUCAUUAUUCGUUUGCGUAUCCAGGCCACAGAAUUUAUACAUACGCUUUUUGGCAGGAGCUGAAAAUAGCAGGAAAAAAUAUGCCAAAGACUGAAAGGAUUUCUUUUGCAAUUAUCAACCACUGGCAACUCAAGCCAAAUUUGUGAUAUAUGGUCUUAAGGGACAGUAGGGACCACUGCCAGCAAAUCUCAUGGUAUCACAAGACAAAUCAUUGAAUUUGGGUAAGUUAAGUGUUCAUUAGUUCAGUGCGAAUUUCUUCUGUGUGGUAAAGAGAGGAACAGACUCUUAUCUAUGGCAGGCGUAAAUCCAGUUGAUAUAAAGGUUAAUGAGAAUUUUUUUUCCAUUAACUGAUAUAAGUGGAAAAAAAUAUAUAAUUGGCACAGAUUGCCUGCUGGAAUAAUGGGAAAUAAUUCUUCUUACCUUAGUGGAAACACGAAGAUAAGGAUUGGACUGUCCCAGGUGUUAACUAUUACAGCAAAAUUAUCAAGUAGGAAAAAAUAACAAUAAGAAAGAUGAAUAAGUGUUAUUCAUUAUUUUGUAAAAGUGUGACUGCAUAGAGCCCCGGAGGAGUGUUUAGUGUGGAAAUAAAACACCGAGAAC
ensembl:lncRNA